AGUGAACGCUGGCGGUAGGCCUAACACAUGCAAGUCGAACGGCAGCACAGUAAGAGCUUGCUCUUACGGGUGGCGAGUGGCGGACGGGUGAGGAAUACAUCGGAAUCUACUUUUUCGUGGGGGAUAACGUAGGGAAACUUACGCUAAUACCGCAUACGACCUACGGGUGAAAGCAGGGGAUCUUCGGACCUUGCGCGAUUGAAUGAGCCGAUGUCGGAUUAGCUAGUUGGCGGGGUAAAGGCCCACCAAGGCGACGAUCCGUAGCUGGUCUGAGAGGAUGAUCAGCCACACUGGAACUGAGACACGGUCCAGACUCCUACGGGAGGCAGCAGUGGGGAAUAUUGGACAAUGGGCGCAAGGCUGAUCCAGCCAUACCGCGUGGGUGAAGAAGGCCUUCGGGUUGGAAAGCCCUUUUGUUGGGAAAGAAAAGCAGCAGGUUAAUACCCCGCUGUUCUGACGGUACCCAAAGAAUAAGCACCGGCUAACUUCGUG
rnacentral:rRNA from 1 species